ensembl:miRNA
GAAAGCUGCAGGUGCUGAUGUUGGGGGGACAUGCAGACUACCUGCAGCAGAGCC